UACGUAGGGAGCAGGCGUUACUCGGAAUUACUGGGCGUAAAGCGUGCGCAGGCGGCUCCUUAAGUCAGCUGGGAAAUCCCCGGGCUUAACCUGGGAACUGCGUUUGAAACUGAGGGGCUAGAGUGUGGAAGAGGGGGGUGGAAUUCCAGGUGUAGCAGUGAAAUGCGUAGAGAUCUGGAGGAACACCGAUGGCGAAGGCAGCCCCCUGGGCUAACACUGACGCUCAUGCACGAAAGCGUGGGGAGCAAACAGG
rnacentral:rRNA from 1 species